GUGUUAAUAAUAGCCACUUUAUCUUGGGAUUUGUUAGAUGAGUGGAGCAGACGGAGAAACACCGUGGUUUAAAACAUAGUGGGACCUAGUUGGGGUAUAGUCAUGUCCCUCUGUUUCUGUUAUAACAGAAGCAAAUCCCCUUUACUAAUGUGAUGCAACUCUAUCAUAAAAUUACAAGUGCAUUUUCGAAAUUCCACCGCAGGUCGGUACAACAAAGCGAACCUAUUCCGCGGAUUGCAUUUGACCUGGUGGCAAACUUCGACAUUUGUGUGUGUUGUGAGUGGCUCAUUCUGCGUUAGCUGCUCGCUCAAAUAGUGCAAACGAUAAUGUGAAGUUCCAUAUUGUCAAACGCUUACUUCCUUUUAUCACAUGUUAUCUUCUCGCCAGUAAUUUUUGUGAUUGCUUAAAACUUAACACAGAAGUUUAGGUUAAACAUGUAAACUUGCAGUUACAGAAUUGGAAAAUAAUUGAAUCUCUUGUAUGUCCAAUGUACAGCAUAUCACAAGGUCUACAUGGAAAAGACUUUGUUUUGCUAACCAAGGUGCUCCAACCUUCUGCAUGUCUCCCUGUCUCCCUUUAUAAAGCAUGCAAACACUACACAAGUGCAACCCAAGCUCUGAAGCUGGGCUGUCUUGGCAGUUUAAAGUUUCCACUCACCAUACAUAAAAAAACAUGAAUCAGUACACACCCCUUUACAGACCAAUCACAUGCUUUAUUUUCUCAACACAUGGCAGACCAUGUGGUUUCCCCCCCCCUCUCAGUGUGGUAGAAUUCAGGGAACCAAGUACAGUCAAAUGGACAGCUGGGUGGCCUAGUUUGUGCUUAGCUCAAAACCAAGUUAGCUAAGGGUGGGGUCGAUUUUGAAACCAGUGAAGAUUACAUUCAUGCCUGUAUACUGAGGCUUUUUGAGUUGGGCGAUGGCGGUGACACACUGAAGAUAAUUCUCAUAAAAAGUAUGACGCAAUACCCUGGUCUGCUUGUUUUUCCUGUGCUUAGAUCAUACCAGUGCGUUGAGGUCAAUGACCGCUCGUCAUUGUGUCAAACACACGCCUGCUUGUGUUCUUUUCCAGGCUUACAGCUGGGACUCAUUCCUGGUUGGCUCUUUUUACAAAUGGGUCAGGUGACACAGCAGGUGCUUAUGACAGAUAAGCUGUUGUUUGUUUACUGUGGUGACGCAGGUGGGGCACUAACAUCAGGUUAUUUAUUUUUAUUUUUUUCAAUCAAUUGUAUUAAUAUCAUUAGGAAUUCUAUCAUUUUGUUUUCAACCUUAAAACGUAAAUCUGGAAUAUUUUUGCUUAACACAAUCAACAAUAAAUUCAAAACAUAAAAAUGACUAAGUGAAAAACUGUUUGUUUACCAACUUGUGAUGGGCAUUUCACACAGUUCUUUUUAUUGACUAAGUGAUUCAUUCAAAAUAAUACUCAUUAGAUCAGCCAGUAAUGAAAUUAGUUGCAGCAUUAGAGCUUAUGAACAUUUAGAUGUUAUUAACCACCUGGGGUGUAAUGUAUGGAUAAAGACAUCUGCCGUAUAUCAUGUCAUUUCAUAUCACAAUAUUGAUAUGUAUCAUGAUAUAGUACAUCUUUUGGAAAAUCCGCUGAUAAUAUCAAAAUCAUAUGAAAAUCCAAUAAUGUCAUAAAGCUAAUGUUGCUCGAUUAUGGCAAAAAAUGACUCACGAUUAUUUUGGUCAAUAUAGAAAUCACGAUAAUUGAACACGAUGACUCGUUGAUUUCUGGAAUGAUGUUGCAAUUAUUGAA